GAAGCCUUAUAUAAGCGGCUGUGAGGCGGCUUGAGACCACGAGUGAGGCUUGCCAUCCAGCAGUUGGUAGACAUCAUCUCUUACAAGAUCUACAAUGAAGGCUGUCGUCGUCGUUGCACUGUGCGUCCUCGUGGCUAUCAGUGAAGCUGGCUUUAUUUCCCCAGGCUACGGCUUUGGUGGAUACGGCUACGGCAUUGGUGGCAUUGGUGGCUUUGGAGGUCUUGGUGGUCUUGGUGGUCUGGGCGGCUUUGGCGGUCUGUACGGUGUCAAAGGAAUUGGCCUCGGAGGCUUGGGUGGCAUCGGCCUCGGCGGCUUAGGUGGCAUCGGCCUCGGCGGCAUCGGCCUCGGUGGAAUCGGCCUCGGUGGCAUUGGCAUUGGUGGCCUCGGCCUCGGUGGUAUAGGAGGAGGUUUCUACAGGGGAUUCCCGUACUACAAGAAAUACGUCUACUAAGAAAUGAAGAAUUCAAGCCGCUGACGUCCAAGGAGAGGAGUUUACCCGUUUGAAAUCGUGAAAACAACAAUGCCUUGGCUACGUACACAGCUUUGAAGCAAUAAAUCUAUUAAUCAACGAUUAAA
rnacentral:lncRNA from 1 species